rnacentral:lncRNA from 1 species
AUAGCUAUUAUAAAUAUGAUUCAAUCGAGCCUAGGGCAUUGAUUUGUACCAUACAACGAAGCGGUCAAGCAUCGAGGCAGCUGGUAUAUAGUGGCGCUGAAUACGACAAAGCCGACGACUUCGUCAACGGGUGAGGUUUGAAACUGAGGAUCGAUCGAUAUCGAAAAACCAGGGAAAAGGGGAGUGCCAGACUAACGAAAACCGUACGCGGCUACGAGUGAAUCGACUACACCUAAACGCCAUUUAGUUCGAAGGAAUAUCGAACUAUGGCUGACAACGACGGCAAUGACGCCCGCUUGGGGAAGAUUCU